UACGGGGGGAGCAAGCGUUGUUCGGAUUUACUGGGCGUAAAGGGCGCGUAGGCGGCGUGACAAGUCACUUGUGAAAUCUACGGGCUUAACUCGGAACGGUCAAGUGAUACUGUCGUGCUAGAGUACAGAAGGGGCAACUGGAAUUCUCGGUGUAGCGGUGAAAUGCGUAGAUAUCGAGAGGAACACCUGCGGCGAAGGCGGGUUGCUGGGCUGAUACUGACGCUGAGGCGCGAAAGCUAGGGGAGCGAACGGG
rnacentral:rRNA from 1 species